rnacentral:rRNA from 1 species
CCUACGGGAGGCAGCAGUGGGGGAUAUUGCAAAAUGGGGGGAACCCUGAUGCAGCGACGCCGCGUGGGUGAAGGAGUGCUUCGGCAUGUAAAGCCCUAUCGGCAGGGACGAAGCAAGACGGUACCUGACUAAGAAGCCCCGGCUAACUACGUGCCAGCAGCCGCGGUAAUACGUAGGGGGCGAGCGUUAUCCGGAGUCACUGGGUGGAAAGGGAGCGUAGACGGCCAUGCAAGCCAGGGGUGAAAGCCCGGGGCCCAACCCCGGGACGGCCCGUGGAACGGUGCGGCUGGAGUGCGGGAGGGGCAGGCGGAAUUCCUGGUGUAGCGGUGAAAUGCGUAGAUAUCAGGAGGAACACCGGCGGCGAAGGCGGCCUGCUGGACCGCGACUGACGUUGAGGCUCGAAAGCGUGGGGAGCGAACAGGAUUAGAUACCCUUGUAGUC